rnacentral:rRNA from 1 species
GAUGAACGCUGGCGGCGUGCCUAAUACAUGCAAGUCGAGCGAACAGACGAGGAGCUUGCUCCUCUGACGUUAGCGGCGGACGGGUGAGUAACACGUGGAUAACCUACCUAUAAGACUGGGAUAACUUCGGGAAACCGGAGCUAAUACCGGAUAAUAUAUUGAACCGCAUGGUUCAAUAGUGAAAGACGGUUUUGCUGUCACUUAUAGAUGGAUCCGCGCCGCAUUAGCUAGUUGGUAAGGUAACGGCUUACCAAGGCGACGAUGCGUAGCCGACCUGAGAGGGUGAUCGGCCACACGGGAACUGAGACACGGUCCAGACGCCUACGGGAGGCAGCAGUAGGGAAUCUGCCGCAAUGGGCGAAAGCCUGACGGAGCAACGCCGCGUGAGUGAUGAAGGUCUUCGGAUCGUAAAACUCUGUUAUUAGGUAAGAACAAAUGUGUAAGUAACUAUGCACGUCUUGACGGUACCUAAUCAGAAAGCCACGGCUAACUACGUG